rnacentral:rRNA from 1 species
AGUGAACGCUGGCGGUAGGCCUAACACAUGCAAGUCGAACGGCAGCACAGUAAGAGCUUGCUCUUACGGGUGGCGAGUGGCGGACGGGUGAGGAAUACAUCGGAAUCUACUUUUUCGUGGGGGAUAACGUAGGGAAACUUACGCUAAUACCGCAUACGACCUACGGGUGAAAGCAGGGGAUCUUCGGACCUUGCGCGAUUGAAUGAGCCGAUGUCGGAUUAGCUAGUUGGCGGGGUAAAGGCCCACCAAGGCGACGAUCCGUAGCUGGUCUGAGAGGAUGAUCAGCCACACUGGAACUGAGACACGGUUCAGACUCCUACGGGAGGCAGCAGUGGGGAAUAUUGGACAAUGGGCGCAAGCCUGAUCCAGCCAUACCGCGUGGGUGAAGAAGGCCUUCAGGUUGUAAAGCCCUUUUGUUGGGAAAGAAAAGCAGCAGGUUAAUACCCCGCUGUUCUGACGGUACCCAAAGAAUAAGCACCGGCUAACUUCGUG